rnacentral:misc_RNA from 1 species
CGAAGCUGAUCUAGGGAUUUAAUUCCUCUUAAUAAUAAUGUAAAAUCCGGUUUAUGUUUAAAUUUUGAUUAACAAGUCAUCUGUAUUACUACGUUAACAUUUUAACUUUUUAACGCAAGAAUUUCUAUAACGUUAUUUGACGGAUAACAGCAUGCAAUAAAUAAAAGUUUGUAACAUAAUAAUAUUAUCAAUUUUUACCAUCGAAGUACUGUUUAUGAGACAUUUCUAUCUACAAAUAUGAAUGUGAAAGUUGUAGU